rnacentral:rRNA from 1 species
GUGGGGAAUAUUGGACAAUGGGCGCAAGCCUGAUCCAGCCAUGCCGCGUGAGUGAUGAAGGCCUUAGGGUUGUAAAGCUCUUUCACCGAUGAAGAUAAUGACGGUAGUCGGAGAAGAAGCCCCGGCUAACUUCGUGCCAGCAGCCGCGGUAAUACGAAGGGGGCUAGCGUUGUUCGGAUUUACUGGGCGUAAAGCGCACGUAGGCGGUUUGUUAAGUCAGAGGUGAAAUCCCGGAGCUCAACUCCGGAACUGCCUUUGAUACUGGCAAGCUAGAGUCCGGAAGAGGUAAGUGGAACUCCUAGUGUAGAGGUGGAAUUCGUAGAUAUUAGGAAGAACACCAGUGGCGAAGGCGGCUUAUUGGUCCGGAACUGACGCUGAGGUGCGAAAGCGUGGGGAGCAAACAGGAUUAGAAACCCCGGUAGUCC